GACGAACGCUGGCGGCGUGCCUGAUACAUGCAAGUCGAGCGAAUCAAUAGGAGCUUGCCCCUGUUGGUUAGCGGCGGACGGGUGAGUAACACGUGGGCAACCUGCCUGUAAGACUGGGAUAACACCGGGAAACCGGUGCUAAUACCGGAUAAUCCUUUUCCUCUCAUGAGGAAAAGUUGAAAGUCGGUUUCGGCUGACACUUACAGAUGGGCCCGCGGCGCAUUAGCGAGUUGGUGAGGUAACGGCUCACCAAGGCGACGAUGCGUAGCCGACCGGAGAGGGUGAUCGGCCACACUGGGACUGAGACACGGCCCAGACUCCUACGGGAGGCAGCAGUAGGGAAUCUUCCACAAUGGACGAAAGUCUGAUGGAGCAACGCCGCGUGAGCGAUGAAGGCCUUCGGGUCGUAAAGCUCUGUUGUCAGGGAAGAACAAGUAUCGGAGUAACUGCCGGUACCUUGACGGUACCUAACCAGAAAGCCACGGCUAACUACGUGCCAGCCGCCGCAGUAA
rnacentral:rRNA from 1 species